AUGGGCAGAUAUCUCUAAACUCAACAUCUACAGUAUCAUCCACUAGCUGCUGGAAGUGAGAGUGCUCAAGCCAGGCAGGAAUGGCCAGCUCCAGGAGAGCAAAAUUCAAGGACUCUGUCUAAACUCUCUGGGGAUCUUCCUCAGUCAGCCUAUCCUUUUAAAACGUGAAGCACUGCUCAAGAUAUGUGGUGGCAUCCACAGGCAGUACUGAUUUGCUCUAUCUGUUUGAAUGUGGUAGCUUCCCUCCAGAAAGCAACUAUUUGUUUCUCAGGGACUAUAUGGACAGGGGCAAAUAGACACUAGAGAUGAUCUGUCUCUUGUUGGCCUAUAAAAUCAAGUAUCUGGAGAAAUUUUUCUUAUCAGAAGGAACCAUGAGUGCAUAAGCAUCAAUAGAAUUUAUGGAUUUUAUGAUGACUGUAAAAGAAGAUACAACAUUAAGCUGUGGAAAACGUUCAUAGACUGUUUCAACUGGUUAUCAAUAGCAGUCAUUGUGAAUGAGAAGAUAUUCUGCUGUUAUGGAGGUUUCUCACCAGCUCUUCAAUCUAUGGAGCAGAUUCGGCAAAUCAUAUGAGACCAACUGACGUACCAGAUCAAAGUCUUCCUUGUGAACUUUUGUGGUCUGACCUCAAUAAAGAUGUCUUGGGAUGGGGUGAAAAUGACAGAGGAGUGUCCUUCACAUUUGGUGAAGGAUUAGUUCCAAAAUUUCUCCAUAAGCAUGAUUUGGAUCUUAUAUGUAGAGUCCAUCAGAUGGUUAAAGAUGGGUGUGAGUUUUUUGUAAGGAAGCAGUUAGUCACUCACUUUUCUGCACCCAACUACUAUGGUGAGUUUGACAAUGCAGGCUCCAUGAUGAGUAUGGAUGAAACCCUCAUGUGUUUUUUACAGAUUUUUAAAGCCUGUAGGAUAAAAGAAGCCCAAUAUUAUGAGACCUAUCACACCACCACAGGCCAUGAUCACAAAGCAAACAAAGAAAUAA
rnacentral:lncRNA from 1 species